GGACUACCCGGGUAUCUAAUCCUGUUUGAUCCCCACGCUUUCGCGCCUCAGCGUCAGUUAUGUGCCAGAUAGCCGCCUUCGCCACCGGUGUUCCUCCUAAUAUCUACGAAUUUCACCUCUACAUUAGGAAUUCCGCUAUCCCCUCACAUACUCCAGCUGACCAGUUUCAAAGGCAGUUCCACAGUUAAGCUGUGGGAUUUCACCCCUGACUAGAUCAGCCGCCUACGCGCUCUUUACGCCCAGUAAUUCCGAACAACGCUAGCACCCUUCGUAUUACCGCGGCUGCUGGCAC
rnacentral:rRNA from 1 species